rnacentral:rRNA from 2 species
GGCGGGGGCACGGGGGGCCUACGGGAGGCAGCAGUGGGGAAUAUUGCACAAUGGGGGCAACCCUGAUGCAGCCAUGCCGCGUGUGUGAAGAAGGCCUUCGGGUUGUAAAGCACUUUCAGUUGUGAGGAAAAGUUAGUAGUUAAUACCUGCUAGCCGUGACGUUAACAACAGAAGAAGCACCGGCUAACUCCGUGCCAGCAGCCGCGGUAAUACGGAGGGUGCGAGCGUUAAUUGGAAUUACUGGGCGUAAAGCGCACGCAGGCGGUUUGUUAAGCUAGAUGUGAAAGCCCCGGGCUCAACCCGGGAUAGUCAUUUAGAACUGGCAGAUUAGAGUCUUGGAGAGGGGAGUGGAAUUCCAGGUGUAGCGGUGAAAUGUGUAGAUAUCUGGAGGAACAUCAGUGGCGAAGGCGACUCCCUGGCCAAAAAUUGACGGUCCUGUCGGAACGUCAAAGGAGCUGGGGGAACCUCAAAGG